rnacentral:tRNA from 1 species
GAGGGCAUAGCUCAGUGGUAGAGCUCAUGCUUAGCAUGUACAAUGUCCGGGGUUCAAUCCCCAGUACCUCUA